rnacentral:sRNA from 1 species
CGAGAUUUAAUCCGCGAAUAUGGGAAUGCGACCUUCGCAAUCGCGCGGUCCAGCCUCGAAAUAAGUCGGAAA